UAUUUCAAGAAGUGCGGAGCCCUCCGUAUUUUUAAGUCUUUUUCAAUAUUGAAACUUUCGAAUCGACGACCGGUUCCGUUAAACUUGAUCUAGAGUAUUUGAAGUAUCUAGAAAAUAAAUUUUGUGAUUUUUCGAUAUCAUUUGCCUAGUGAUCAAAGGGGCUCAAAAUCAAUAAUUUUAAUGGCCGUGGUGAGCCGUUUGCAAGUUUAACGAUGUAGAAAUAUCCAAAUCACAUAAAAUUUUGAUAGAAAAUUUUUUAUACUAUAUAAAACAAGAUCAAUAUCUUUAUCUAAAAUUUUAAUAUCAUAUAAUCACAUUUUGUAAGAUUUUUAUUUUCAGCAGUUAAUUUUGAGCUCCUUCGAUCACUAGGCAAAUGAUAUUGAAAAGUCGCAAAAUUUAUUUUUUAGAUACUUCAAAUACUCUAGAUCAAGUAUAACAGAGCCAAUCGUCGAUUCGAAAGUCCCAACAUCGAAAACGACUUGAAAGCAUGAAGGAUUCCAUACUUCCAGAAGUAUACCAGUCUCACUCUAUAUUUAUCUAUCUACUUACAUAUAUCUAUAGUGUACAGUAGAGGUGAUUUUAAAUAUACAAAAGCCUUCGUGCUCCCAAUUUUUUUCGAUUAUGGAAUUUGCCGAAUUCGGUGAUGGGCUCCAUUAGAUUUAAUCCAAAGUAUUUGAAAUAUUUAGAAAAUAAAUUUUAUUAUUUUUGACAUCAUUCACCUAGUGAUCGAAAUGAUUUAAAAUUAUCAAUAAUUUUAAUAGUCAAAGUGAGCCGUUUGCAAAGCUAAUGGUGUAGAAAUAUUCAAAUUAGACGAAUUUGUGGACAAUUCUUUAUAUUACCUAAAAGCAAGAGCAGAAUUUCAAUUGAUUUUUUUUUAUAUUAUCUUAAAAUAAGAUCAAUAUCUUUUAUCUACAAUUUUAGUGUUGUAUUAUUAAUUUCUGUGAGUUUUAUUUUUAAUCAUUAAUUUUGAGUCUUUUUAAUAACUAAGUAAAUAAUAUUGAAAAAUCGAAAAAAGUGUUUUCUACAUACUUCAAAUUAAUAUUCUAGAUCCAGUAUAAUAGAGUCGAUCGGUGAUUUAAAUUUUAUCAUAAAAAAAAAAAUAACUUGAGAGUACAUAGGCUUCAGUGCUUCUAAAAGCACUUUAGUUGGACUCCUUAUAUAUAUUAGCUUUUGAUAAAGCUAUGGUUCUUUUAAAAUUACUCAUUAAUUUGAAUAGUAAUAAUUCAGACCUUUUCUUAAGUUGAUCCUUGAAAAAUUUCUAAUUUGCUAAAUAACCUAAUUAAAAUUUUAAUUGAUGAACUAGUCUAUUUUACCUAACUCAGCGUCAUGUUGGAAAGAGAAGUGAAAGACGGUGAAUCAAGUUACUGAGAUUUUUGUGUGGUUAACAGGAUUGUAUGCGAAGAAUAUAAAUUAAAACAGUGAAUUAUUCAUCGUUUUCUUUCUAAAGAGAAAAACGGUGAACGAUUUAUUAAUUGGCUUUUAUGUUUUAUUAAGAACAGUGAAUUGUUCAGCAUCUUUGAGUUUUUACUCUACUCUGGCUCUCAGUUAGAAAAAAAACAGAGUUAUUUGCCCGCAUAAAUUUGUAAAGUAGUUAUUUUGGCCAAAUACAAAUUUUUUAAAGGGUAUUUUGUAAAAAGGUCCUAAUAAUCCUAUGUAUAUAUUUUUUUAAAACUUCUAUUGGUAAAAGAAAAUCACAAUUAUUUUCUCUUCUUUUCAGCUGGCAUGGAUCAUGUAAGGGUUCAUCCGAAGUUUCUUCAUUCAAAUGCAACAAGCCACAAGUGGGCUCUUGGAGGUAAUCUUAUGCCAUGAGACUUAAUAUAUUAAAAACAUCUUUUUAACUGUUUCCUCACUCUCCACAUCUUUAAAUGCUCAUUUAGCACUGUUUACAUUUUGUUUUUUUUAUCAACCUUUUUUUUUUUUUUCUUUUUUCACUCUAUAUGGUGAGAGGCAUCUAGCCAAGGACUAAUUGUUUAGUUUUUAGCUUCUUGUUGCUUAACUAACAAUUUAAGAUAAAGAAACAGAAAAGUGUACUACAUAUAUUUCGUUUUUAGCUAUCGAACAAAUCGCGUUAACAUAGAGUUUUUAAGUCUAAACAAAUAGAAAACAUAUGCGGCAAUGAUAGACAUGUGUGCAUUUAACAAACUAAUAAAUAUAUCUUUAAUCAUUUCGGCAGCAUUCAUGUUAUAUCGUGUAAACUAUAUGUGUAUUACUGGCAAAUUUGAAUCAAGUUUCUAGUUGUGCUGCUUUAUUCGACAUCUAACUAUACUUACUUUGAUUUAUCUAUCCUACUAGCUUUGGCUGAGCUUUUGGACAAUGCUCUUGAUGAGGUACCUUUUCCUUAAAUCAAAUUCAUUAAAUAAAUCUGUAAAUAAUUUCCCUAUCAUACCUAGUAAACUUACAAGUUGCAUUUUCAUUUUCUCUAAAGGUUUGCAAUGGAGCUACAUUUGUUAACGUAGAUACGCUGGAAAAUAAGAAGGGUAGGAGCAAAAUGUUGCUUGUUGAAGGUAUUUCCUAAAUUACUUCUUGAUUGUCCAAAUAAGACGUAUAUAUAUUAAUCGGUUCUUUAACAAUAUCUCAUGUUUAUGUUUUCCGAGUUGUACAGAUAAUGGAGGAGGGAUAAACCCUGAUAAAAUGCGACAAUGCAUGUCUUUGGGCUAUUCAACUAAGAGCAAAUCAACGAAUACUAUUGGACAAUGUGAGUUCUCACAUUUAAAUGAAAAAUAUUUGUGCGAUAACCUGGCCAUUUUCAUCAUUUAUUGUCGUUUAUUAUUAUUAUUAUUAUUAUUAUGUUUUCUUCCAAGAUGUUACCAUCAUUCUAUAUUCGUUUCGAACUUUAUUCAGAUGGAAAUGGCUUUAAGACAAGCACCAUGAGGCUCGGAGCGGAUGUGAUUGUUUUCUCCCGUUGCAGUGGAAAAGAUGGAGAAAGGUUUGUUGCCUUUUUUGCAAUUCCACUUUUGUUAGAUUCCUUGUUUUAAGUAAAGGAUUCCUCAGAUAAAAUUUUAUUCAAUUUGAGCAAGUUUUAGUAAAACAAACAAGUUUCCUUGCAUAAUAUUUGAGAGAUCUAUAUCAAAUUUAAGAUUUCAAAUUUCAAGUUUUAAUUUCAAAUCAAUGUGGUAGUUAUGUGUUUUGUGCUUUUUUAUCUUUUCAUAAAUAACUUUAACUGGCUCUUUUUUGGUUCUUCUCGGUCUUUUAGUCCUACUCAGAGCAUUGGAAUGUUGUCCUACACAUUCCUUACAUCUACUGGAAAAGAAGAUAUUGUAGUCCCCAUUGUAAGUAUAUAUAUUCUGUUCGUUGAUUGCUCAGAUUGAAAAGUUGCUUGUUAACACUAUUCUUUUUAAUUCUCUAUGUAUACCAAUGUAUGGAACUUGUAAGUGCCUUUGGAAAGCAUGCUAAAUCGUUAUAUAAGACUCCUUUUUAGUCCUACAUAUUAUCAACAUCUCUGUGGAAAUAUAAACUCUGUACAAACGCACACUCAUGCGUAUAAGAUAUUGUACUUGUUCAUGCUUGUGGAAUUAGAAAUUAACAUAAUAUAUUUUGAUAUUAUACAUCACUUGUACCCAUGCAGGUUGAUUACGAAAGAAGAGAACAGGGAUGGAGUAUGCUAACGCGAACAAGUGCGGAAUCGUGGAGUAAUAACUUAGACACUAUAAUUCAAUGGUCUCCAUAUUCAAGUGAAGCUGAUCUUCUUCAGCAGGUAAGUUGUUUUUCUUUUCUGAAGCUUUUCAGAUUUAAAUGUUUAUCUUUCAAGCCAUGUCCUCUAUAGGACUACUAAGAUCUAAGGCUCUAUUUUGGCAAUUUUUAAAUUUCAUUUCACAAAAACCCUUUAUUUAGACAUCAGCUCACAGUUAAAACAGAGACUUCUUUGGUUAAUUUAUUGUUUUAGAUAUUUCUCUGGGCGAAAAUUUUAUUGCUUAACAAUAGAACCAUCUAAAUAUCCACUGUAACUUUUUUCUCUACACGAUCAAUGAGAGUUGCGUCGCACUUUUGUUUUUCUACAUAUUAGUUGGCAUGCCGGAUACUUAUCCACAUAUUAUACAUUUAUGUGCAGUUCAAUUCGAUGACUGAUCAAGGAACUCGGAUAGUCAUAUACAAUCUUUGGGAGGAUGAUGAAGGAGAACUUGAACUCGACUUUGUUGCUGAUGAGCAUGCAAGUUUAAUUUGUUUAGUAUUCUAAAUUGAUGAUUUAGAAAAUUACUCAAUUAGUGUGUUCAUCUCUCUCUGUACUCACUCUUAUGCGUAAUAUGAGUUUUAACAGUAAGAUUCAAUGGUGGCAGGACAUUCAAAUUAGAGGAGUCAACCGAGACGAAAAGAAAAUCGAAAUGGCCAAGAAGUUCCCUAAUUCCUGCCAUUUUCUAACCUACCGCCAUUCAUUAAGGGUAAUUCUUUUGUGCUUCUUUUUUCUUUUUCAAUUAAGGCUAACAUAAAGAUAAGCCAACAAAUACAUGGUGAUGUGCAAUUUCCCCCAAUACAUAGAGAGGUAAAAUGCAGGAUUUUUUUUUUUUUUUCCAUUUAGUGAGUUGUUCUAUGUAGGUUAAAAUGCAAAUCAUGAUUUAUUUAGUGGCCAUCGAUAUUUUUCUUGUUCUUAAUUGAUUUGCAACAAGCUACAUCCAUUUAAGAAAAAUGCAUAUGAGUUAAUUUUGUUGCACUUAUUCGUCUGCGUUAAAAUUCUUUCUAAUUUGGGAAUUUCGUUAUUUCUGAUAGAGCUAUGCAUCAAUUCUGUAUCUUCGGCUUCCUCCCAGUUUUAGAAUGAUCCUGCGCGGUAAAGAAAUCGAGCAUCACAACAUUAUCGAUGAUAUGAUGAUGAAAACCGAAGUCAUUUAUCGUCCCCAAACUUUUGCUUACGGGCCUUCGAAAGAUCCAAAUGUAACCUUUUCUUUAUUUUCUCAAAUCCCUCAGUUCGUAGUUUUCAAAUCUUUCGCGAAAUAAUUGCUAACUUUGUGUGGCUUUUUCCAUUAGAUGUGUGUUGUUGUGAAUUUGGGCUUCGCGAAGGAUGCAAAAGAUCACAUUGAUAUUCAAGGAUUCAAUGUCUACCACAAAAAUAGGCUAAUAAAGGUUGUAUUAAAACUUCUUUUGUAUCUCUGAUAUAUAUUAUUUUUCCUGCAUAUAAGUCUUAGUAAAUUCCCCUUUUCUGUUUGUGAUAAAUUCAAAGAAGAAGUUAGGAUGUAGCUUUAAUAUUGUCACUUCUUAGAAGUAAACUAAAACUCGCUUCGGCAUUAACAAACAAAAAAAAGGGUCUUCUAGGGGCCUAAAUUUGCCUUUCAAUAGAUGGAUUAAUUUUUCUCCCCUCAUCUCAGCCUUUCUGGAGAGUUUGGAAUGCCGCGGGAAGUGGUGGGCGUGGAGUAAUAGGUGAAUUUUCUUAAUUUCUAUGCUUGUCAAUAACUUGAUUUUCAAAUUUUAAUUUAUGCCGCUAUUUACUUGUUUAUUUUUUCUCUCUUUUAGGUGUUCUUGAGGCCAAUUUUAUCAAACCGGCUCAUGACAAGCAAGAUUUUGAGCGGACGACCGUGUUUACACGGCUUGAAGCUAGAUUAAAUUGGAUACAGAAAAAUUAUUGGUUUGCACUCUUCAUCUUAACUUUUUCAUUUCUUUUUUUUUUACCCACCCUACAUGGAGAUACUGAGAAUUAUGUUAUUUUAACGGUGUUCAGGAAAGACAAUUGCGAUCGAAUUGGUUAUGCUGCGAAGAGGAAGAAGUCGACAAACGAGCUAGACGACAGAGGUACUUAAAUAAACAAAAUUACUUUAGCGAGGACACUCAAUCGCAGUUUCCUUUUGAUUCUAAACAUGUUUGAUUUUCCUUUCCUUUUCUUUUCUCAACAGAAAGCCCAGAAAACUUGUCGUCUAAGAACAAUCCUAAUCAUAAUUGUUCUUCGCGAAAUGUGUCUCCUAAUAACGACGACAAAUUAAACGAUUUUGGCAAGUGCCAAAUACCCAAAAAGGUUUACUCGCAUUCGAAUUACCACAAUGUGGAGAAAUGUGGUGGUACUCGACAUAAAGAUUCUGCAGAUACCGCGGAAUCAGGAAAUGUUAGUCACAUUCCAUCUGCCAGGAGGAAGGAAUCGCAGAAUUUUACGAACGGAAACUAUGUUGAAGUAAAAAAUACAGAUAAUUGCAGAAUGGCAGAAGCUUGUACUUCAAAUGGAGGCACUCAAAUUGCCAAAAUUCCUCGCGGAUAUAAUGCGGAGGUAAUCUAUAUUUUGUUUUUUUGCUAGCUAGAAUGUGUACUUUUAUAAUUUUGCGUUUUAAUUUAUUCAAAGAUGAUGAUGAUGCUGAUAGUAUGAUAAUUGGCAGGUACAAGACACCAAGAAUAUUAAAUUUAACGGAGAUGGCGCAAGCCGUACUGACUCUAGUCUGAGGAUUGAACAGUUAACUUCUCAGAAUGAAGCUUUGAAGAAUCGGUUAGUAUGGUACCCACAUUUUCUGGUUCUUUUUUUUUUUUUUUUGGUUCCUUUUUUUGGUGGAUUCAAACAGUGUUAUUUUCGAAUCGUUCAGGAUAAAGGAAAUUGAGCAGUUAAGCAUGAAAGAGAGGGAUAGAACCAAAUUACUAGCUGCCAAAGUAAGUCUUAUACCCAAUUAAACAAACAGUAAAUGGAUUUCUCUGAAAAAUAAUGUUCUUUGUGGAAUGUUCAUGCAAUAUUUGGCUAAUUUCCAAAUUUUUGUGUUGGUUUUUUCCUUUUUCUUUUAUGUUUCUUCAAACUCAGUUGGAAGAAGCAGAACAACUGGUGGAAAAGCUAACCAAGGAACAAGAGGCUCUUCUCGACAUAUUCGCCGAAGAACGCUGUCGGAGGGAUUCAGAGGAGGAAAGAUUGAGAAAGAAACUAGAGGUUUGAAAAAUCAUACCAAAACUACAUUUUAAUCUCCUAAUCUUAUAAUAUUUUGUGCGGUAUUCAAUAUAACAUAUUACUAAUCUGAUUAAAGCUAUUGCCCUUUUUAUAGGAUGCUACUGCAGCCAUAAGAGAGUUGGUAAAAAAGAACUCCACAGUAUCCAAUGUGAAACUGGAACACUAGCUAGCUCCAAGAGAAGCAGCAGAGAAGUUUUUUUUUUCCCUUUUUUUUUUCCUUUUCUUUCUUAUGCAGAUUGGUUGCCUCAUCUAGCAGGUUUAUAGCAUUCGAAGAUCGAUAGAUGGUUAGGAAAUUAGUAAUUUUAAAGCGCAAGUGACGGUGCUCCUAAGAGCUUAAUCAUUUAUUAUUCUUUUCUCGCGGUGUAAUUUGUUGUUCAGAACUUCUUGCAAGAUGUGAUAGUUUGUACAGUUUAAUGUAUAAAUAAAUAAUAAACAGGUCUUAUGAAGUAGAUUAAUUUUUGGAUUGUUUCCAUUUGCUCAUUUUAAUUAUAUGUUGUGAUAUAUUUGGUACUCUUUUGCAUCAUAUGAGAUGCAGUUUUGGACUCUCCAAUGAUUCUGCAAUCAGAAUCCAUUAAUCUUGCAAGAGAAAAUAAUAAAAAAAAAAGUAUCUUUGAAGCAGUAAAAAGAAUAAUUUGUGAAGUUUUGUACUGACAGAUAAAAGUGUUUGUUGCAAAAAGUCCUUGGGGCAUAUUUGAUUCAUGCUAUUUAACCAGAAUUAUUGAGAAUCUUGCAAGGACUUUUUUCAACUUCUUUUAGUUCAUGAUGGAUGUAAUCCCGUUAACAAUACCACAUCGUUAAAUACAAAAUUACUCACAUUAGGAUUACUGGAAUCUUAUGGGAAUUUUUUUUUAAGAUCAUUACAUUUUGUUCAUCCCGUAUGUAAUCCUCCCAAUAAUAUAGAAUUAUUACUAACAACACAUAAUAGAGUCGGUGAAUUAAAUUAUAUAUAUAUAUAUAUAUAUAUAUAUAUGAGUCCGGCUAUGGUACUUGUAAAAGCACCAAGUACUUGGUGCUUGUGAAUUUUUUACUGUUAGAUCUACGCCUUUAAUCAUUUUCAUCCAUUAGAUUAUACUAUUCAACCAACUAACCACUCAACCCUAAGGGACCCACACCAUCCUAACCGCACAUCCCUUAAUCCAAGGGCCGAAAACUUACAAGCACCAAUGACUUGGUACUUUUAAAAGCAUAGGAGUUCAAUUAUAUAUAUAUAUAUAUAUAGAGAGAGAGAGAGAGAGAGAGAGAGAGAGAGAGAGAGAGAGAGAGAGAGAGAGUGAGGUUACUAUGCUUCUGGAAGUACGGAGCCUUUCGUGCUUCCAGAUCGUUUUCGAUGUUGCGACUUUCGAAUCGUCGAUUGGCUCCGUUAAACUUGAUCUAGAGUAUUUGAAGAACUUAGAAAAUAAAUUUUAUGAUUUUUCGAUAUCAUUUGCCUAGUGAUCGAAAGGACUCAAAAUCAAUAAUUUUAAUGGCCGUGGUGAGCCGUUUGCAAGUUUAACGGUGUAGAAAUAUUCAAAUCACGUGAAAUUUUGAUAGAAAAUUCUUUAUACUAUAUAAAACAAGAUCAAUAUUUUUGAUUUAAAAUUUUAAUAUCGUAUUAUCACAUUUUGUAAGAUUUUUAUUUUCAGCCGUUGAUUUUGAGCCUCUUAGUUCACUAGGCAAAUGAUAUCGAAAAAUUGCAAAAUUUAUUUUCUAGGUACUUCAAAUACUCUAGAUCAAGUUUAACGGAGC
rnacentral:lncRNA from 1 species